rnacentral:rRNA from 1 species
UACGUAGGGGGCUAGCGUUGUCCGGAUUUAUUGGGCGUAAAGAGCGUGUAGGCGGCCAGGUAGGUCUGCUGUGAAAACUCGAGGCUCAACCUCGAGACGUCGGCGGAAACCAUCUGGCUAGAGUCCGGAAGAGGAGAGUGGAAUUCCUGGUGUAGCGGUGAAAUGCGUAGAGAUGUGGAGGAACACCAGUGGCGAAGGCGACUUUCUGGCCUAUAACUGACGCUGAGGCGCGAAAGCGUGGGGAGCAAACAGG